AGAACGAACGCUGGCGGCAUGCCUAACACAUGCAAGUCGAACGAGACCUUCGGGUCUAGUGGCGCACGGGUGCGUAACGCGUGGGAAUCUGCCCUUGGGUUCGGGAUAACAGUUGGAAACGACUGCUAAUACCGGAUGAUGUCUUCGGACCAAAGAUUUAUCGCCCAAGGAUGAGCCCGCGUAGGAUUAGCUUGUUGGUGAGGUAAGAGCUCACCAAGGCGACGAUCCUUAGCUGGUCUGAGAGGAUGAUCAGCCACA
rnacentral:rRNA from 1 species